AAAUGCAAAUACAAUAAAAUAAAUAUAUAAUAAAAAAUGACAAAUACAUAUUGUUUUAAUUUUUAAAUAAUUGAUUAACUAUAACAAGUAAAUUAUAAAACUAUUGUAUUUGAAAAUAGCUGUAUAAACAUUCAAGUAAAUGAUUAACGUUAAAAAUAUAUACCACUAAUGAUGUAAAAAAUAUAUGUAUAUAAAAAUGAAAUCAAAUACAUGCUCGGUUGCGUGGAUCAAGAUCUAGUUAAAAAUUAAAGAAAGUGUAAUAUAUAUAUAUAUAUAUCUUUAUAUAUAAAGUAGAGAUUGUUUCUCUUCCAGGGUGUCCACCUAGGAUUCCAGCUCAGUAAUUUGGAUGAUGUCAAGCCGACACGUGGCUGCUUUAAUAAAAACGCAGCGGUUCUUUAAAGAUCUGUCGUCAUGGGUUUUGUGUUGUAAAUAUUGUGUAAUUGGGCUUUAGAUUGGAAAUAAUCAGGGCCCGGAGUGAAGGAGACCCUUUAACCCUAAUCCACUGUAGCGAAGAAACGAAGUCUGUCUAUCCUCUACAUGCGACGGCGCUGCAGCGACGUUUGCGAUUUCUCACCAUCUGAAACUUGAAACGGUUUGAGUAAAGGCUACUUGAUUACUCCCAUUGAUUCACACCCCCACUUCGUCUUCUUCAAUGCUUUUCGAUCUGAGAUUUUGUGAUUACGGUAUAAAUACGUUCCGGCAACUGCUCCUCCGUCGUCGAGGCGAGGCUCCUGCGGUUCUGGGAGUCUAUAAAUGUUAAGCGUGGUGGUGAACUGAUGUGGGUCCAUAUGUUAAUGGUUGACGUGAAUGUAACACUGAUCUAUUUCAAAAUAUGUUUCAGGUGACCCAUAUAUAUAUAUCUAUGACGUAUAUUUCAAACUUCGCUAUCGUGUUGAGACGCUAUUGCUGAUAAUACUGCCGAAGGAACAUUUGUUUGGUUUGAUGGUGUGAUGACGAAACUACAUAAUCUCAGAGCAAGUGAGGCUGUUCAGAUGCUGGCUGUAGACGUAGUGAACCCUGAAGACUCUAGGAUACCUCCGUUCAUUGCAGAUAUGGAAGGAAAAUCAUACACUUUUCAGGUGAUGGUCACUGCGUAUAACUUCAUGGGCAAUCAUAAGACGUUCACCAUAACAUGAUAUAUGAAGCAACAUUUCAGAAAGAAACAACAAUAUUGAUAUUCAGCAUUGUUGAUGAGCUUGGUCGUGUGCGAGACGAUGACGUGGACGACAAUGGAGGUAACAAGGAUGAUGAUGACAACAUGCCUAAUGGCAAGCCAGCUCCUAUUGGGUUUGCAUCUGGAAGGGCCACUGGUAAUGGAUCAGAUGCUAAGACGGGUCUAUACGGUACUGCACGUAAGAAUCCGGACGUCUCAUCCUCUAAGGUGGUCAAGAAAGCGCGUGUUGCUUAGGAUGUAGCAGCAACAAAUUUAUGAUCAGAAUCUCAGUUUUAAUAAUAUGCUUAUGCAUCUUUGUUUAAUUUCAAGUAUUUGGUUAUUUAUGUUUUGGAUAUUCCCAAUUAUAUGGGUACUUUAAGUUUGUUUCAGUCUUUAUUCAAUUUUAUAUUAUGGAGUAUAUUUAUUAUUCCAGUAUAAA